rnacentral:lncRNA from 1 species
AACGCUCUGCCCCCGUUGAAAGUGCGCAGACCAAAUCCUUAUAUCGAGAUACUCUCCAUAAGGUAUCCAACCUAUCCCAAUUUUCUGUAUUUUUUUGGAUCAGAUCUUAGGCAAUCUAAUCCACCUUAUCGUUGAACAUUUGACUCACACUGAUGUGGAUUUUUUCAGGAUCAACCAACUCGCACACAAAUGGAGAAGCCAAG